CUGAAGUCAAGCAAGACUACCCGCUGAACUUAAGCAUAUUACUAAGCGGAGGAAAAGAAACUAACUAGGAUUGCCUCAGUAACUGCGAGUGAAGCGGCAACAGCUCGUCUUGAAUCUCUCCUCUGGAGCGAAAUGUGAGUCACAGCCUUACGUUGGGGGCGGCGCGCAACUCGGCUGGAACGCCGGACCACGGAGGGUGCUAGUCCCGUACCGUGCCGCCCUUGGCGAUAGGAUGUGUUAAACGAGUCGGGCAGUUUGGGAUUGCUGUCCUAACGGGAGGUAGACUCCUUCCAAAGCUAAAUAUCGACAGGAGACCGAUAGCGAACAAGUACUGUGAAGGAAAGAUGAAAAGCACUUUGAAAAGAGAGUUAAAAGACUUGAAAUCGCUGAGGAGGAAGCAGUGCGUACAGCGCAGGAAACAGUGCAAGGGGACUCACGAGUCCCUGGAAGCUGUCCCGCUGCAGAGUGCAGUAGUGAAGGCGUGAGGCUCUGAGUCGUGUGCUCGGAAGUCUGCGUCGAACUGCUGAAGGCGCUCCGGCGACUCUGCCGCUGUGCGCACUGACCCGUCUUGAAACACGG
rnacentral:rRNA from 1 species